CCACCUCUUGGCUUAGUGGUUAAAGCGUGGCACUCUGAAUAAAAAGACCCAGGGUUCAAACCCUGGGGCGGA